rnacentral:piRNA from 1 species
UAGUCACAUUUGUUUUAUUUUUGACUGGG